AGAAGUACUCUCGACCAACACUUUGUGGUGGUCGGAUAUGGAGGGAUCUGCCGUUGACCCAGUUUAUGGCUCCUCCCAAAUGUGUUAGCUUGUGGUGAUGCACUGCUGUUAGCUUGAUAUUAUUGUCUAUGCUGCAGUCGUACAUUGCCUGGCUUACAGUCGUCCUCGGACAAUGUAUA
rnacentral:misc_RNA from 1 species